AUAUCAGUCAUGCAUAGCAUAUCAAUAAGCGGAGGAAAAGAAACUAACAAGGAUUCCCCUAGUAACGGCGAGUGAAGCGGGAAGAGCUCAGAUUUGAAAUCUUAAAGGGUUUCCCUUUACGAAUUGUAGUUUAAAGAAGUGUUUUCUGUUAGAGUUUCGGUAAAAGUUCUUUGGAAUAGGACAUCAUAGAGGGUGAGAAUCCCGUAUUUGACCGUUAUUUCUAGCUUUGUGAUACACUUUCAAAGAGUCGGAUUGUUCGGGAAUGCAGUCCAAGAUGGGUGGUAAAUUUCAUCUAAAGCUAAAUAUUGGCGAGAGACCGAUAGCGAACAAGUACCGUGAGGGAAAGAUGAAAAGAACCUUGAAAAGAGAGUUAAACAGUACGUGAAAUUGUCAAAAGGGAAGCGUUUGACACCAGUGUUGUUUAAUUGAAAAUCAAUUAACUAAUUUUUGAUUUUAAAUAGUAUUGACUUUAUCAGCUUGCUAUUUUCUUUUCGGAAAUUAUUUAAUGCACUUUUCAGUUAACAAGUCAACAUCAAUUUCUUUUGUUGUAAAAAGGUAAGAGGAAGGUGGCUUAUGCUUCGGUAUAAGUGUUUAUAGCCUUUUACCUCUGCAAUCGGAGAGAUUGAGGUCUGCAGCGUAGAUCCUUCGGGGUUAGAUACAUUUGUGCUAAGUUAUAGUAUUUUAUAGACAACUUGUUGACUAUGAUUUAUCAUGUAGCUUACUCGCUUAUGCUAUUUUACCUACGCUUAGGAUGUUGAGUAGCGACAUACGCAC
rnacentral:rRNA from 1 species